rnacentral:rRNA from 1 species
UACGUAGGGUGCGAGCGUUGUCCGGAAUUAUUGGGCGUAAAGGGCUCGUAGGCGGUUUGUCGCGUCGGGAGUGAAAACACCGGGCUUAACUCGGUGCUUGCUUUCGAUACGGGCAGACUAGAGGCAUGCAGGGGAGAACGGAAUUCCUGGUGUAGCGGUGAAAUGCGCAGAUAUCAGGAGGAACACCGGUGGCGAAGGCGGUUCUCUGGGCAUGUCCUGACGCUGAGGUGCGAAAGUGUGGGGAGCGAACAGG